GACGAACGCUGGCGGCGUGCCUAACACAUGCAAGUCGAACGGAGUUAAGACUUCGGUUUUAACUUAGUGGCGAACGGGUGAGUAACGCGUGAGAAACCUGCCUUUCAGUGGGGGACAACAGUUGGAAACGACUGCUAAUACCGCAUAAUGUAUUUUGACCGCAUGAUCGAAAUACCAAAGCUUUAUGUGCUGAAAGAUGGUCUCGCGUCUGAUUAGCUAGUUGGUGAGGUAACGGCUCACCAAGGCGACGAUCAGUAGCCGGUCUGAGAGGAUGAACGGCCACAUUGGGACUGAGAUACGGCCCAGACUCCUACGGGAGGCAGCAGUGGGGAAUAUUGGGCAAUGGGGGAAACCCUGACCCAGCAACGCCGCGUGAAGGAAGAAGGCCUGGUUGUAAACGUUCUUUACCUAGGGACGAAGAACGUGACGGUACCU
rnacentral:rRNA from 1 species